CUACGGGCGGCUCCAGUGGGGAAUAUUGGACAAUGGGGGAAACCCUGAUCCAGCAAUGCCGCGUGUGUGAAGAAGGCCUGCGGGUUGUAAAGCACUUUCGGUUGGGAGGACUGCUUCUAGCACUAAUAUUGUUGGAAGUUGACGUUACCUUCAGAAGAAGCACCGGCUAACUCCGUGCCAGCGAGCCGCGGUAAUACGGAGGGUGCAUGCGUUAAUCGGAAUUACUGGGCGUAAAGCGCGCGUAGGCGGCUAGAUCAGUCGGGUGUGAAAGCCCCGGGCUUAACCUGGGAACUGCAUCCGCUACUGUCUAGCUUGAGUACAGGAGAGGAGAGUGGAAUUCCACAUGUAGCGGUGAAAUGCGUAGAUAUGUGGAGGAACACCAAUGGCGAAGGCAGCUCUCUGGCCUGAUACUGACGCUGAGGUGCGAAAGCGUGGGGAGCAAACGGGAUUAGAUACCCCUGUAGUC
rnacentral:rRNA from 1 species